rnacentral:sRNA from 1 species
UCCAGGUGCAGUGGUGUACACCUGUAAUCCAUAUGGCUCCAGGAGGCUGAGGCAGGAGGAUCACAAGUUCAAAGCCAGCCUCAGCAAUAGCAAGGCACUAAGCAACUCAGUGAGAUCCUGUCUCUA